UCGAGAAUCUUCCGCAAUGGACGCAAGUCUGACGGAGCGACGCCGCGUGAUUGAUGAAGUCUUUCGGGAUGUAAAGAUCUUUUAUGUAGGAGAAAGUUUUGAUAGUACUACAUGAAUAAGGGGUUGCUAACUCCGUGCCAGCAGCCGCGGUAAUACGGAGGGUGCUAGCGUUGUUCGGAAUCACUGGGCGUAAAGGGCGUGUAGGCGGUUUGUUAAGUCUGAUGUGAAAUCCCCUCGCUCAACGAGGGAACUGCGUCGGAUACUGGCAGACUUGAGUACCGGAGAGGAAGGUGGAAUUCCCGGUGUAGCGGUGCAAUGCGUAGAUAUCGGGAGGAACACCGGUGGCGAAGGCGGCCUUCUGGACGGAUACUGACGCUGAGACGCGAAAGCGUGGGGAGCAAACAGGAUUAGAUACCCCAGUAGUCCCUGAGCGGGCUGGCAAGGCGCAU
rnacentral:rRNA from 1 species